AGCAGCAGCCGCGGGAAAACAGAGGGUGCAAGCGUUAAUCGGAAUUACUGGGCGUAAAGCGCGCGUAGGUGGUUUGUUAAGUUGGAUGUGAAAGCCCCGGGCUCAACCUGGGAACUGCAUCCAAAACUGGCAAGCUAGAGUACGGUAGAGGGUGGUGGAAUUUCCUGUGUAGCGGUGAAAUGCGUAGAUAUAGGAAGGAACACCAGUGGCGAAGGCGACCACCUGGACUGAUACUGACACUGAGGUGCGAAAGCGUGGGGAGCAAACAGGAUUAGAUACCCCUGUAGUCCCUGUCUCUUAUAC
rnacentral:rRNA from 1 species